CAUUGUGCCUGUGAACAAUUUCUUUUCAAUCCCUCUCAAAGCAAAGGAGGAGAAAGGAUGGUUUGGCUGCAAUUUAUUCUCUUCUUGGCAGCCUUCAAAGGUGCCCAAUCUCAGAUCCAGCUGGUGGAAUCUGGAGGAGAUUUAAGAAAGCCUGGACAGUCCCUCCGCCUAACUUGUCAGGAGUCCGGGUUCACCGGCUACUGGAUGAGCUGGGUGAGACAAGCUCCUGGAAAGGGCCUGGAAUGGGUUGCUUAUAUGCACCCGUCUGACUCAUCCCACAUUUACUACUCUGAUAAAGUCAAGGGGCGAUUCACCACAUCCAGGGACAAUUCAAAGAGCCAGAUGUAUUUGCAAAUGAACAGCCUGAAGCCUGAGGACACUGGGAUGUAUUAUUGUGCAAGAUACACAUUGAGGGGAAGUGAAUCUGAAGUGAGACAAAAACUCUCUUUUGCUUAUACCAGCUUCCAAAGCUGA